GACGAACGCUGGCGGCGUGCUUAACACAUGCAAGUCGAACGGAAAGGCCCUGCUUUUGUGGGGUGCUCGAGUGGCGAACGGGUGAGUAACACGUGAGUAACCUGCCCUUGACUUUGGGAUAACUUCAGGAAACUGGGGCUAAUACCGGAUAGGAGCUCCAGCUGCAUGGUGGGGGUUGGAAAGUUUCGGCGGUUGGGGAUGGACUCGCGGCUUAUCAGCUUGUUGGUGGGGUAGUGGCUUACCAAGGCUUUGACGGGUAGCCGGCCUGAGAGGGUGACCGGCCACAUUGGGACUGAGAUACGGCCCAGACUCCUACGGGAGGCAGCAGUGGGGAAUAUUGCACAAUGGGCGGAAGCCUGAUGCAACAACGCCGCGUGCGGGAUGACGGCCUUCGGGUUGUAAACCGCUUUCGCCUGUGACGAAGCGUGAGUGACGGUAAUGGGUAAAGAAGCACCGGCUAACUACGUG
rnacentral:rRNA from 1 species